UAAUACAUGCAAGUCGAGCGAACAGACAAGGAGCUUGCUCCUUUGACGUUAGCGGCGGACGGGUGAGUAACACGUGGGUAACCUACCUAUAAGACUGGGAUAACUUCGGGAAACCGGAGCUAAUACCGGAUAAUAUUUCGAACCGCAUGGUUCGAUAGUGAAAGAUGGUUUUGCUAUCACUUAUAGAUGGACCCGCGCCGUAUUAGCUAGUUGGUAAGGUAACGGCUUACCAAGGCGACGAUACGUAGCCGACCUGAGAGGGUGAUCGGCCACACUGGAACUGAGACACGGUCCAGACUCCUACGGGAGGCAGCAGUAGGGAAUCUUCCGCAAUGGGCGAAAGCCUGACGGAGCAACGCCGCGUGAGUGAUGAAGGUCUUCGGAUCGUAAAACUCUGUUAUUAGGGAAGAACAUACGUGUAAGUAACUAUGCACGUCUUGACGGUACCUAAUCAGAAAGCCACGGCUAACUACGUGCCAGCAGCCGCGGUAAUACGUAGGUGGCAAGCGUUAUCCGGAAUUAUUGGGCGUAAAGCGCGCGUAGGCGGUUUUUUAAGUCUGAUGUGAAAGCCCACGGCUCAACCGUGGAGGGUCAUUGGAAACUGUAAAACUUGAGUGCAGAAGAGGAAAGUGGAAUUCCAUGUGUAGCGGUGAAAUGCGCAGAGAUAUGGAGGAACACCAGUGGCGAAGGCGACUUUCUGGUCUGUAACUGACGCUGAUGUGCG
rnacentral:rRNA from 1 species